UUGGUUAAGUUAGAAAGGGCGCACGGUGGAUGCCUUGGCACUAGGAGCCGAAGAAGGACGGGACUAACACCGAUAUGCUUUGGGGAGCUGUACGUAAGCGUUGAUCCAGAGAUUUCCGAAUGGGGGAACCCACUAUCUUUAGUCGGAUAGUAUCCUUACGUGAAUACAUAGCGUGAGGAAGGCAGACCCAGGGAACUGAAACAUCUAAGUACCUGGAGGAAGAGAAAGAAAAAUCGAUUUCCUGAGUAGCGGCGAGCGAAACGGAAAGAGCCCAAACCAAGAAGCUUGCUUCUUGGGGUUGUAGGACACUCUAUACGGAGUUACAAAAGAAAGUUAUAAAUGAAGCGGUCUGGAAAGGCCCGCCAAAGACGGUAACAGCCCGGUAGUUGAAAUGGCUUUCCCUCCAGAGUGGAUCCUGAGUACGGCGGAACACGUGAAAUUCCGUCGGAAUCCGGGAGGACCAUCUCCCAAGGCUAAAUACUCCCUAGUGACCGAUAGUGAACCAGUACCGUGAGGGAAAGGUGAAAAGCACCCCGGAAGGGGAGUGAAACAGUUCCUGAAACCGUGUGCCUACAAGUAGUUAGAGCCCGUUAAUGGGUGAUAGCGUGCCUUUUGUAGAAUGAACCGGCGAGUUACGAUUUGUUGCAAGGUUAAGCGGAAAAAGCGGAGCCGUAGCGAAAGCGAGUCUGAAUAGGGCGCAUAAGUAACAGGUCGUAGACCCGAAACCAGGUGAUCUACCCAUGUCCAGGAUGAAGGUAAGGUAAUACUUACUGGAGGUCCGAACCCACGCACGUUGAAAAGUGCGGGGAUGAGGUGUGGGUAGCGGAGAAAUUCCAAUCGAACUUGGAGAUAGCUGGUUCUCUCCGAAAUAGCUUUAGGGCUAGCCUCGAGGUAAAGAGUCAUGGAGGUAGAGCACUGUUUGGACUAGGGGCCCUUCUCGGGUUACCGAAUUCAGAUAAACUCCGAAUGCCAUGUACUUAUACUCGGGAGUCAGACUGCGAGUGAUAAGAUCCGUAGUCGAAAGGGAAACAGCCCAGACCACCAGUUAAGGUCCCCAAAUAUAUGUUAAGUGGAAAAGGAUGUGGGGUUGCUUAGACAACCAGGAUGUUGGCUUAGAAGCAGCCACCAUUGAAAGAGUGCGUAAUAGCUCACUGGUCGAGUGACCCCGCGCCGAAAAUGUACCGGGGCUAAACAUAUUACCGAAACUGUGGAUGAACCUCUUUAGAGGUUCGUGGUAGGAGAGCGUUCUAAGGGCGGUGAAGUCAGACCGGAAGGACUGGUGGAGCGCUUAGAAGUGAGAAUGCCGGUAUGAGUAGCGAAAGAAGGGUGAGAAUCCCUUCCACCGAAUAUCUAAGGUUUCCUGAGGAAGGCUCGUCCGCUCAGGGUUAGUCGGGACCUAAGCCGAGGCCGAUAGGCGUAGGCGAUGGACAACAGGUAGAGAUUCCUGUACCAGUGCUAAUUGUUUAACCGAUGGGGUGACACAGAAGGAUAGGGAAUCGCACGAAUGGAAAUGUGCGUCCAAGCAGUGAGUGUGAGAAGUAGGCAAAUCCGCUUCUCGCGAAGCAUGAGCUGUGAUGGGGAAGGAAAUUAAGUACGGAAGUUCCUGAUUUCACGCUGUCAAGAAAAGCCUCUAGGAAGAGUAGUACUGCCCGUACCGCAAACCGACACAGGUAGAUGAGGAGAGAAUCCUAAGGUGAGCGAGAGAACUCUCGUUAAGGAACUCGGCAAAAUGACCCCGUAACUUCGGGAGAAGGGGUGCUCUAUUAGGGUGCAAGCCCGAGAGAGCCGCAGUGAAUAGGCCCAGGCGACUGUUUAGCAAAAACACAGGUCUCUGCAAAACCGUAAGGUGACGUAUAGGGGCUGACGCCUGCCCGGUGCUGGAAGGUUAAGAGGAGUGCUUAGCUUCGGCGAAGGUACGAAUUGAAGCCCCAGUAAACGGCGGCCGUAACUAUAACGGUCCUAAGGUAGCGAAAUUCCUUGUCGGGUAAGUUCCGACCCGCACGAAAGGCGCAACGAUCUGGGCACUGUCUCAACGAGAGACUCGGUGAAAUUAUAGUACCUGUGAAGAUGCAGGUUACCCGCGACAGGACGGAAAGACCCCGUGGAGCUUUACUGCAACCUGAUAUGGAAUGUUUGUACCGCUUGUACAGGAUAGGUAGGAGCCGAAGAGACGUGUGCGCUAGCAUAC
rnacentral:rRNA from 1 species